rnacentral:lncRNA from 1 species
CGUACGUGAGCUUCUGUCGUCGUAAUCUUUGUGCGUGCAGAGCCAAGCGGGAUGCUGGGACGGAGUUAGCAUGGCAUGGCGUGGGCUGGUGUACAUAACCUUAAUUUGUUUUCGUACUUGUGUCAAUCGGCUCUGGCGCGAGCAGCAAUAAGUGAACAGGUGUAUUGGCAUGCUAUGCGACCUAUCUGCCUGUGAGGUAAGGGCCAGCGGGUGCUUUGCAAGCGCGUGUUUUGUCUUGGUAGCAUAGAUCGACACGUGUGUGUGUGUGUGUAUUGGGCGCCGCCGCGCCGUGUACUCGACGUGCAGCCAGCGUUGCCCAGGACUGACUUGCAGCGUAGUUCCACAAUGAGCAGGAGCAGUGGCAGGCCGUUUGUAAGGGCCUUGCUGUGGGGAUGUCAUCUAUUCCUUAGGACAGAAAUGAUCCCGUGAGUAAUCUCGUAUGUGGUCUGUAUCCACUGCGCCGGCAUUCUGCGCGUGUCGCCCUGUACCUGAUGGAGGUGUCAUGGGUACCAGAGAACCCAACCCCAUAAAGAACACAACCGUGAUGAACUGUUGGUUGCCGCGAACUGGAGCUGUAUCAUAACUAGGCGAGUGAGCUGCGGCAAAGUUCAGAUGCGAAUUAGAGACAGUAAGAGCUGGAGGUGUCACUUUGUGGUGGCAUGACGCGGCCGCUGAAUGGGGAGCAUUUGGAAAGCCGUGCGAUCGACGAUGCUUCUGUGCGAUGGAUUGCGCACAGUCUGGAGAUGUUGCGUCCAGAAUCUACAAGCGCGCCUGAUGGACUGGAUGGCGUGAGCAUGAAAGGUGGAGCGGCACACUCCCACAACAGGUGCCACUGUAAUAACACACCUGACACUUGAGUCAUUCGCACCUCUGGUUGUGGCUUAUGCUUCCUUAGUGGCUUCCACAUGCCGGCCCCAAGGACGGCCCCAGCCGCUGCCACGACACAUCACACGUGGACAGGCAAUGCGCACGUAUGCCUCGCAACCAGGUCCACAUGGCAGCUAGAGGGAUGACACGGGCUGUUUCGGCUGCUGUCAGCGAGCUCCGGUCGCUGACAAGCGGAAGGCUCAGCUGAUGAGAGCCUAGGCUCAGUGAAGGGGUCUGCGGGCUUAGCGCGCUGAGUCGCCCGCCCAGCCGGAUAGCCGAUGAACCCGGCAACUCAGCGCGCUGAGCGGUUUGCUCAUCAAGGUUAGCUAUGCAGGGAUUCCGCUAAAAAAUGCAGCCCUACCCGCCGUACAGGAGUCGCGCCGGAAGUUGGGCAGCUGAGCGAGCGGGAGCUGGCAGCUGUAAGAACAGCCAGCAGUACGAGCUACUUCAGACCCUACCAAUUGACGGUUUCAGGCAGCUCCCCCUGACGCUUCACUUGCAAGCCCGCGACAGUAUGGCUAGCAGCAGGGUCAGCCGCACAAACCCCACCAGCACAACGACACCGGUGGGAGAGAGUGAUGGCUUGCCACCUGCCCAACCAUCAACUGCAGGCAUUCUUGCCGCCGAGCUGCUUGCCGUCAACAUGAGCUGCUCCGGACCCCACCAUUUAGGUCCAGAGCACUUGAUCGGCUAUGACAAACUUUGCUUUCCAUACAAGCCGGGCCGGAAUUAUAUUAUUAGCCCCCUCGGUCACCUGGUGGUGGUGGUGGUGGUGGUGGUGGUGGUGGUGGUGGUGGUGGUGGUGGUGGUGGUGGUGGUGGUGGUGGUGGUGGUGGUGGUGGUGGUGGUGGUGGUGGUGGUGGUGGUGGUGGUGGUGGUGGUGGUGGUGGUGGUGGUGGUGGUGGUGGUGGUGGUGGUGGUGGUGGUGGUGGUGGUGGUGGUGGUGGUGGUGGUGGUGGUGGUGGUGGUCACUGAAUAGCAACCAAGGGUAGUGGCUAAGGCGACUGGCGACUAGGGCUGACAAGCCCCUGGAUGGUGCUAGGCGAGCGCACUCACGCGCCCACCCCGAGACACGCCCGACACAGGCACGCCCGACACAGCAGGGGCGAAGGCCCCAGUCCUGGUCAAGGCAACAGAGAAACCCGGGCUCACACGCCAACCACGCACCAUCAGGGACACACGAGGCGCACGCGUCCUUUAAACACACAGAGCAAACCAGCAGAGCCUCAGGGAGGCAGGCACACGCUCUCACAACUCACACCACACAAACGCAUAACGGCAAACACCCCCGCCACAACCGAAGCACACACAGGGCCGCUCCAACAUACCGCACCCCUAAGCCACGCACAGCACAGAAAAGCAAGGCACCUAAAGGGCGCAUAAAGCAGGCUAACCAACCCCCCCUACAAAGGGCCAGCAGGGGCCAUUCUCUGGCGGAAACCGCACCCUGCAUCGCUGGCCCUGGCGAAUGAAGCCCCCAACCCACAAACACACACCAAAGCAGGAAACAAAGCGCAACACCCCCUUUGCGAACCCCUGCUGGCUGGUCGUCCGCACAUCCACGCUCACCGAGUACAGGGACAUACAUUUGUCAGCGUUGUACAGCCCGUGAAACCACUCGAUCACCGAGCGUGCGGGGAGCCCCGUGCGGGCAUCAGGGGACUUGAUUUGGGGAACCCUUCUGCCGGUUCCGUGGGCCAGUGCGCCACGAGGUGGGGGCACUGCCGCAGCGGCUGGUAGUACUGCUGCGGUGUAUUCGCUUGCCCUGACGCCCCCAUACAUGCCCCUCGUCUCCCCUUGCCUUGCCGCACACGCAGUACUUGUACGCCUGCUUCUGCACCUCUUCGCUGUUCCACAAAAGUCUCAGGAGGCAUCUGAGAAUCUUGUGAACAAGUCGGCACCAGCGCCAGCGCCGAGCUCAUCAUCGCCUCAUUCUGCGACAACACGGGCGCGGGGCGGGCUACUCGUGUCAAGUGUUGCGUCUGCAAGCCUUUGAGCGUGAAGCGGUGUACGUGGGUUUCACUUGUGCAGGUGUACAUGUUGCAGGGUAGGGCAGGGUGUUGUGCGUGGGAACAUGGGGAGGCAACGGUCAUGCCGACCACGCGGAGUUGAACCUUUGUGGCGGGAAGCAGUAGGAAAGUUUCUAUAUGUUAAAGUUCUUUAUAUCAACAGCACUGCUUCUUUACUUGCUAGCAUCACCCAUGAUAUCUUGAGCUGCGUGGCUUCGUCGUCUGCGCUUUCCAUGGCCGACACCAAGUUUAUCAGCAGCCUGGCAAUUGAAUUUAACCUGGACAUAGCAUGGGAGCUAAGGGCUGUCACAGCAUUCGCCAAGGCGGUGCCUGAACUUCGCACGCACAUUCGCGGUCACGCGCACAAGAGUAAGCAGGUGGACUUUCUAAAUGAGCCCAUGCAAGGUAAGCGCAUCUGGUUUUCUGCGCCGGGGCGGUGAAAGCGGGUUGUCGUGGUCAGCAUGAAGGAGGUGGCUGCGGCUUUCAACGCUGCGGAGGCGCUUGGCGUGCGCGGGAAGGUGCCACGUUUCGGGGUCUUGAUUACCCCUGUCGGUGUAGCGGGACUCCGCACCUAUGUGUAUACCCGACCCCUGCAGAGACGAAGCUGUACAAUAACGUCACCGUGUUCGUGCCGGGUUACGAAACACCCUACGCAAAGCUGGACUAUCAGUACCUCACCAGAAACCCAUUCGUCAAGCAGAUGGAGCGCGAGCGCUACUUCCGCGUGGUGACGGUGGCCGAGCAACCGUCCCAGCCCUGGCGCUGGAGUAGUGCGCCGCCAACUCUGUGGACAUUAGCGAAGUGCGGCUGCAGGACGAUGUGAAGCUGGCCGUGGUGGUUGGCGCGGAGCAUGCGCGCCACAAGGUUCAGCAGCAGGUUAGUUGAUUGGUUCACUUUGCACUGCACACGCUCUCGACGGGCACCUGUCUGUUUAUUGAGCGUGGACCGCUUUGUGCCAGCAUGCCUGACCGCAGCACGCUGGUGUCCUGUCCGACCUGACUGCUUCAGGUGGAGGUGAUGCUGGGCUGGAAGGAGGGCCGAAUCAGCAAAGACGAAUACAAGGCUGCAGAGUGGGCCACGGUGCACAUCGCCGGCGAUAAGGGUGAGGGUCCUGCAUCUCAGCAUACGGGGUCGGCAUUCUGCUCCUCAAUUGGUGUCGUUAAGCGAGCGAGGUUUACACAAUGGACUUGUUGGGGUUUACAACAGCAUCCCCCGGGCUGCUGCUAGCUGGGAGGAGGGCGCCCAGGGCUCAAACUAAUGUGGCCACAUGUCCAUGCUGGACUCAUUGCUUCACUCGUACUCGUUCACUUUGAAGCAUGCAUGCGGCUUAUUUACUUUUGCAGCAAGUAAUUUAGGCAACUAUGCGCACGUGAGGGAGUUGAACCAUCACGACCAUGCCCUUGCAUAACGUUUCGCACGCCCAGGUUCGCCCAUCAGUCAGCUGACCAAACACCGGGCAUCUUGCAACGGUGGAGCGCCAGUGGGUUCACCUGCCUAGUUGCUGGGCUGACCGGAUGGAAGCGUGACAUCAACAUGCCGGCUUUGCAAUGCCGGCAUGUUCCACCUCUUGCGCGAUGCCGCCAGCAGGCGCCAGCCGGUGGUGCUUCAAGAAGAUCAGUGGCCUCGUUGACGCUGACAAGCUGAAGAUCGAGAUCGACGGCAUGGCCUUCUCCCUGGAGCGGGUGGUGCUGGUGGAGCGCAAGCCGCGCAUCAAGCUGAUGUACGGUACGUGCAGGAGCUGGCGGUCAAGAUGUGGAAGCUCGUGUAAGCCCGUGGGAGGCUCGGCUUGUGUGUGCACGCCUUGGCUAAAGGGCCAGUGCUUUACAGGAGCGGCGCAAGGGCUACACGGCCCUCGUGAUCCUAGCCUCCCACGGGCUUACACGAGCUUCAACAUCUUGACCGCCAGCUCCUGCACGUACAUCAGCUUGAUGCGCGGCUUGCGCUCCACCAGACCACCCGCUCCAGGGAGAAGGCCAUGCCGUCGAUCUCGAUCUUCAGCUUGUCAGCGUCAACGCCUUGGCUAAAGGGCCAGUGCUUUACAGGAGCGGCGCAAGGGCUACACGGCCCUCGUGAUCGUUGCGGAAAACCUGUGAAGUAUGGUUGCUUGCGUAGGACAUGUGCGCUACUAGGCAGGCAUAAGCGCAUACGCACACAGCAGCAGCAGCCACGCGACUACAGGCCUUAUUAUUGCUGCGCUUUGCAUCCAGAGGCGGUGGCAGCGUUCAGUCAACAGUGGCCUCAAGCCACCAGCCCACCACGCACUGUGCCGCCAGCGCGCACCCAUCUGACCACGCACCUGACCACUGCUGAGCACUCGCGCCACCAGGACCACAAUGUGUGUGUCCAUACGAUCCGCGCAGGAAGCUCGUGGCGGCCGGCGCGCCCAACACUGACAUGCUGCGGGACCGCUUCAGGCCGGAGAUCAAGCCCCUGGAGGUCUUCCUCAUGGCGGACGGCUGGGUGGACGACCCUGGCGAGGCGGCGGCGUGCGCAGUCCGCAUGGAGGAGGAGGGCAUUGCGCCGUUGCUGCCCACUGGCGACGGCGGCUACGAUGCACGCGACAGCUGCGGCCGGUGGCCAGUCGACGACGGCACACGGCGGCGCGGACAGGUGCGGUGUGCGUGCCAUCGCGCUCGAAUGGGCCCGUCAUCCCUAUGGCGUCAUCCAUGGGCUUUUGCUGCGCGUUGAUGAGCUGCUGGGGGUAGAUUGUACCGCAGCGUGUGCGUGCGUGCGUGCCAAGCCCAUGCGCCCGGACCGCCGUUGGCAUACAAUUGCUGAACACGUCCUGAAACACAUCGGCACGCCUCGCCCACCCCGGACACAGACCUUUCUCGCCAACAACAAGCCGGGACGCCUGCGGCCAAAGAGGUCCGGCAGCAGCGCCGCAACGGAUGCCAGCGGGAGCAGCGGGGUCGGCGGGGCGGCGGGGCCCAACAGCGCGGUGGGCAUCGGCCGCCACGCCAGCAGCAGGCAGCAGGCGGCCUGCAGCCCGGCGCACCCGGCGCACCACCUGCGCACGCACGACCCCUUCAGUGCCACCAGUGGCGCCUGGCUGCAGCGCCGCGUCGCGCUAGUCUGCCGCCCCCUGCACCCGCCCCCCCCCUGCACCCGCCGCCCCCUGCACCCGCCGCCCCCUGCACCCGCCGCCCCCUGCACCCGCCGCCCCCUGCACCCGCCGCCCAUGCACCCGCCGUGCCACCACCACUACAGCAUGCCCAGCGGACGCCGGCUGUAGCUGCAGCGCGCUGGGCUGGGCAGCAGCUGGCGAGGUGGAGCGCCGAAGGGGGAUGCGUGCCGGGGCCCGGGCCGGGCUGAGAGCUGGGCGGGUUCGGGGCGGCAGCAGCUAGGCGAGGGCUCUGGUUCCGCGGCUACUGCGGUGUACCAUUCUUUGCCCGUGUUGUAGUUGGCGGCACUCGUGCGGCUAUGCGUUUGGCGCCUGACCGAGAGUGUAUGGCUGUGUGCACAUUAUUUGACAUGGUCAGGUUGCGACAUGUCGACAUGUGAAAUGCGACAUACAACAUUGCGACAUACCAAGACUCGCCCACAUUUGCAUAGCUACGCGUCCUGGAGCCCAUUUAAGUAACAUCUCCCAGCUUUGCGGCGGUGUAUUGCGCUAGCGUAGCCACAAGCUGCUCCCACUGGCCGCACCCUACGCCACGCCACCACCACCGUGGCAACCGAGACACGUUUUGUUGUGUGCCACGGCGUUCCACGCUUACCAGAGGCAUAUUGAAUGCAUGCACAAUAUGUUUGGCGGGUUUGGAUGCGUUUGGGCGAUAUGUGCAUUAUGUCGCAAUGUCGUAUGUCGCAAUUCACACAUCCACAUGUCGCAACCUGACCAUGUCAAAUAACUUGCAAGCUGCUAUAUGUAGCCUGUGCGUGCCGGUGCAUACCGACCAAGUGAGAGUGUUGCGUUUGCGUGUAUGCGUUUUUGUCUCACCGCAGUCAUGAACUGCCCAACCCUUUCCAAGAAUGUAUGUUCUAAUGCCAAGGCGUUGUUAUGCGCCAACUUCUAUGCUUGCUUGAGGCCGGGUGCGUUCCUGGAACAAGCUGUUUGAGAGCUUCAACAAUUGCGCACUGGCAGCAGGUCUUAGACCAGCGUACAGUAGAAUCACGAGUGGGUGACGGGCUGAUGCCGGAUGAUGCUCAAGGCUUGCACAGUGGGGUAGGUGCACAUUUUUGAAACACUAAUGACAAUGAUUGCACACAAAACGCUUGCUGCAUGUUGUCAAAUGGAAAUUCAAUCAUGGAGCAACGGGGCUUGGGUGAGGUGGGACUGGUGGAAGGGUGUGCGUGUUCUUUGAUCAAAUCGUUUCCUCUUUCUGCAGCGGCUGGGGGUGUGCCGGGGUUUGGGGUUUCCGAGCAUGGGCGUUAGGCAUACCUGGGUUGGUGCCGUGCGUACCGUACGUAUGGAGGCAGCCCCGCAUACCGUGCGUAAUGCUUUCCAGCUCACGUCUAACUGAUGUGUUAUCUCAAACUGGGUGCGGACUAUCUACGACCCGCCUGGGUCAGUAGUCCUGGCGCCGGCCCGCCCGGCGCAACACGGUGUAGAGAGCGUGUGUGCAUGGUGACAGGAUGGGCAAGCAAGGUGGCGUGGAGGUCGUUCGUGACAGGCGCUUUAUUUUGACAGGGCAACGGCACACGGGGAACACGCGCGGUUAUGGGUAACCCCCCAACUUUGAGGCCCCAGCAAAGUGUGCUUGGUGAUUCGUAGCACGCUAAAAUUUUGGCUACCCCCCGUGCCGUUUGCAAUCUUCCGGCCGUGCAAUCCAGAUUGCCCCAGUCAUGUAGCGGUUUUUGCAACGACGGGGUGCAGAGGGAAGGGGAGGGGAGGGGGCAAGUCUUAAGCAUCCAGUGCAAACUGCCGGGCAUACAUUUUUUAACCACUUAUAUUUUUGGCGCGUUGGUUUGGUGUUUGACAUUGCGGCUUGAAAGGCAGCACUGCGGUGUAGGCGGGUACGUGUGCACCCAACUGCCGGCCGGUGGAGCCACCUGAAACACCUUGCGCGCCACGCGACAGGCUGCAUUGUGACGUUUUCUUGGUGCAGUGGAUGGGAACAAGCAGUAUUUGGUAAAGCCUAUUGAUAGCAAUGGCGCGCAGGCUGAGCGAGGAGCUGUCCGGUGUCUGGGUAGCGCUCCGCAUUGGGGCGAGCAAGGCGUGUGUGCCAAGCGGCAGCAGCGGCAUGACACGUAGUGUGGCAGCGACGCAUGUGCUGAGUCGUCCUGGCUGGCUCUGCUGUGGUGGCUUGACCACUGCUGGGCACCUGCUGGGUUCGGCUACGUGCCUGUUCAGACCGAUUCCGCUGUCAGGACCUGCCAGCCACUGUAACAUGCUGAGUAGCUUUCUGCCUUCCGCCUGAGACGUGAACUCAUGACUAGUUGUUAGCAGCCUGCACGGCAGCCACACGCCACCAGAGCUUUCAUCAGGCUGAGAGGCAGCGCAACCUGCACGCGCUAGGUCGCGACCCCGGCUAUGUCCGGGCGAUGAGGUAGUUCGGCCUCAGACUUGCGGAGAGGCUCAGCCCCUUUUCCCUCGGGAACUCGAUGCGACCGCAAAGGCUCUUGCCCGUCCCCCUUCGGGGCAAGGGGCAAACCAACCUGUCGUGUCAUCAAGAGAGUCCAGCUAUCGAGGAUGCAGGAAAGUCCUAGCACCAGGUGAGACCCAACCCAAAGCGCCCCAGAACCCAAACCCACCCGAUCCACCCACAAAGCCCCCACCCGAGCACACAAACCCAGCCCUUACGGACCCGAACCCCUAACCUACCCCAGCCCUGUCGCCCACACCAAGCCCGGAGUUAUGGCUAUGAGUGGACUCUAGCCGUCGUUCAGCCAGGCGUAGAGUGUUGCUGCCAGCGCUGCUGAUGGCACGCCGCUGAGGUCUUGCGGGCGUCCAUACUACUAUUGCGUGCUCGCUGGCUCGUGAGAUCCGUCAGCGGAUUCCGCAUGUAGCCAAUCUUCGUUGGUCCACGUCAAAUUCGGAAAGAAAUCAAGACCCAGAACCCUCCCGUGUGUGUAAGGGGGGAGGGGGGCGGUGUCGGUGGGGACGUGGGAAACCAAGGAAAGCUGCCGAUCGGUUCUACCUCGUAAGCCUCACGGGUUAAACUCCCUAUCGUCCCACCGGCCCCGUCCCGAUUCCGCGUUUAGGCCGUCCAUGCUUGGUGUCGGUCGCUGGUCACAGCUUUGCAAGGCCGGCCGACAUGAAGCGCCGAUUAGCCGCGGGUCCGUCGUUUAUGGGUUACGUCAAGGAUUCUUGGAGCUAUGCGAACUGAGGUGGACCCGGCGAUUGUCAGACAGGCUGACUGAAUUGGUUGAAGGCCCGUCGCAGUCGCGCGAAAGUUUCGGGAAGUUCGCCAUCUUACUGGCGAAUGACAACGCUUCCGGCGCCAGGUAUUAGUCGUGUCCCUUGUUGUCGUCACGAUUGGACCCCACCCGCUUCCCGCGGAUUUAGCCCGAUCCCGCUUGCAUGGGGUGGUCUGACUGCAUGGAUCGCGGACUCCAUAAAUAGCCGAUGUGCCAGACUUGGCGGUCCUGAAUCACAGCUUGAGAAUACAUAAACUCAAUCGCCAAGCAACAAAGCUACAGCCCUAUAUCGGCAGUUGCAACAUCCCAGCGCGGGGGUUCGACUGCGUAAUUACGAGCGUCGUUGAGCCGAGUUUGCAACCAUGAUGCUGUCAGGCCGCACCUGCAAUUGCGCCUUCAGUGCUCGUCGAACUAGCCUCCAACGCGGAGCGCUCGCUUUCCAAUCGGCGCGGCUGGUACCUCAACGGCCGCCGGCCACUUGCCGUCGCGCAUCGUUUGUGCCCAGCGCCAUCUUCAUGCCAACAGAGGUGGAACAGAAGACCGGCACCACUUCCAACAACGGCAAUGUCACACCCUUGGAGGCUCGGACUGUCCCUUCCGAGCGCGCGCUGACCAUCUGGCGCUCCGCCGACGCCGUCUGCUUCGACGUAGACUGUGAGUGGGGUCCUAAUACUUGUGGGCAUGUAGGUCCUUAGGCUCUCCCGCCGUGGUAUGCGGCUUGCCUAAGCUGUGGCCGCGCGGCCUUGAAACGUCAUCCCCGUCAAACUUUUCAACUCGCUUCUUUCGGUCCUUCGCAUUCUCGCACCCAUUCAGGCACCAUCACCGUCAACGACGGCCUGGACCUGCUGGCCGAGUUCAUGGGCGUCAAGGAGGAGGUGGAGGCGCUCACCAACAAGGUGGGUGCGCGCCGUCAAGGCGCCUGCUGUUCGGCCCCUCCCCUCCUCCAAUCCAUUCCCUUACCUUAUCCCUCGUGCAUGCCCUAUGCGCAAGUCAAGGUUGGCCGACUGCGCAGCAGCUGCCCAUCCCCCCCAUUCCAACCCUUCCCCCUACCAAACCCUGCUGCCUCCACAAACACACACACGCAGGCUAUGGACGGCACCAUGUCUCUGACGCGCUCUCUGGAGGAGCGCCUCAACCUGAUCAACUGCUCGCCAGACGACAUCCGCCGCUUCAUCAAGGCCUACCCGCCCCAGUCCCGCCUGGCGCCCGUGAGUUGCCGCGUGCGGCGCGCGUGUGUACGCUUGUGUGGCACGCGUGUGUGUGGGCAUGCUCUGCUCGCGGCCUCGCGCGGCCGUGCGUGCCGCCUUCGAGUUGUGGCGCUCCCGACCUCCCUACCCCACCCCCUCAUGUGUGCCCCUAUCAAUCCGCAACCCCAAACACCCCAAUCCUCCUAUCACAGGGCAUCAAGGAGCUGAUCAACGCGCUCCAGAAGCGCGGCGUGGCGGUGUACCUCAUCAGCGGCGGCUUCCGCGAGCUGCUGCUGCCCAUCGCGGCGCACCUGGGCAUCCCCAAGGACCGCGUCUUCGCCAACCGCAUGCACUGGCAGUGGGACGAUGAGACCGGCAUGCCCACCAAGCUGGUGAGGCCCGUGACGAACCCCGUGAUGGGAGAGGCCGCUAGCUUUGUGUUCGUGUGUGGGGGGGGGGGAGAAAAGAAAGAGGGAAGGGGGUUAGGGAGCAUUGGGGAGCUGCGCUGAUGGGACUGGAGAUCGUCCUGAGCCUUUGGACUGGUAGACACACGCGCUGGGGACUUUGACGUUCCCGCUCCUGGUCUCGCUCGCAGCCGUAGAUCUGCACAUUUGGGCCCCGCGCAGUCCCUUGCGCGCGCUGACACAUUGUGGGCAGGGCAGUGACGCCAAACAGCAGCAGGCACGCGAGCGUGUGGGGUUGGGGUUGGUGAGCGGCUGGCUGGGGUUCAGGGAUAGAUGGAUCCGGGCUUGUUGUGCGGUAUCCAUGACUGCUGUUCCAAUGACUUUCAGAGUAUGUCUCGCGGAACGCGGAGUGUGCAUGCCUCGCUUGCUAACCAGACACUGCUGCACAUUCGCGCUUUCCUCGCUCUCGCCAACUCAGGUCGGCUUUGACACGUCCGAGCCCACGGCCCGCAACCAGGGCAAGCCCGAGGUGAGGAAUGGAGACCAUCGAGAGCGCGACCACCUGCAUGCAGCACCACCUGUACUGCUAUGCCCCAGGCACCGUGUGUCCUGUCCUCCUAGUCCUCCUGUCCACUCCGCCCAACCCCUCCCACCCCCACUUACGCACAUAGGCCAUCGCGCGCAUCCGCGAGAACAACCCCUACAACACCGUGGUCAUGAUCGGCGACGGCAUCACCGACCUGGAGGCGGUGCAGACCAGCGGCGGCGCCGACUUGUUCAUCGGCAGCGGCGUGGUGGUGGAGCGCGAGGCCGUGGUGGCGGAAGCCGAGUGGUAAGCCCGGGGCCGCGGCGUAGGAAGAUUCAAGGUUGUGAGGCAUUUGAGGGGUGUGGGGUAUGCAGCCACGACCGCCACCCGCCCUUCCUCAUUCCCCUCUCACCUUUUCCCGCCGCCUGCAUCCCAAAACACACGUGCUCGCCCCCUCUCCCUCGCACAGGUAUGUGUACGACUACAAGGCACUUGUGUCGGCCCUGUCCCGUUACAAGGUGGCCGUGCUGGGCAGCGGCGCCUGGGCGUGUGCGGCGGUGCGCAUGAUCGCGCAGAACACCAGCCAGGUGCGUGCGGCAGUGGUGUGCAGCUGGGCGGGGCUAGGCGCUGAUGCACUGCUGUGAAGGAUUACGAGUCCCUGGGCUUCGACCCAAAUCAACCCAAAUCAACCCGAACCGAUACCCAACCCGCUUGCUCGCUCCCCCCACAGGACGACCCCGAGGACGAGUUUGACGACGACGUCCGCAUGUGGGUGCACCAGGUAAGAGCGCCUCCCGCGUGCCACCAUGCUGCCCCCGUCGUGUUGCGCUUGGAUCCUCAUUUUCGCACCUCCCCUCUCCUCACGCCUCUCCUUACCCAAACCCAUGCUCUGCCACCCACCCGACCCACAUCACCUCCCCUGCAGGGCGGCGAGCUGGUCGACACGAUCAACAGCACGCACGAGAACCCGGCCUACUUCCCCGGCAUCCCCCUGGGCCCCAACGUCAUCGCCACCGGCAACCUGGCGGAGGCAGUGGCGGACGCCGACCUGCUGGUGUUCUGCGCGCCGCACCAGUACAUCCGCGGCAUUUGCAAGCAGCUCAUGGGCAAGGUGCGCCCCCGUGCCAUUGUGCUUGAUUGCUUGUGCUUUGCAUGGGUUCGUGAUUUGCCUGCGAGGCAAAACCAUACGUGACAAGGCGCCUGAACCGAAUUAGCACCAGCCUCGUCAACAACCAAUUAACCAUGCCCGUCCGCCUACCUGUCCCCCCACUUAACUCCCAGGUCAAGCCGGGCGCCGCCGCCAUCAGCCUGACCAAGGGCAUGCGCGUCACGCCCGAGGGCCCCGAGCUCAUCAGCCAGAUCGUGCGCCGCACCCUGGGCGUGGACUGCUCCGUGCUCAUGGGCGGUAACAUCGCCGAGGUGGGUCUUUUGAGGGCGGGGCGGGUCAGGGCGGAUAAGGAAGUCGGAGCCGGCAAUCCUUGGGCGGCGACGACUGUCCUGUUGUCUGCAACGCUUCAUUACAAACUGUAUCGCGUGGAACAGAACCCUGAUGACCCCGCAAGGCCAGGCCUCUUCCUCCACCACCACUCUCUACCACUAACCCUACCCUGCCCUUCCCCUCCCCCACCUCCCCCACCUCUCUCCACAGGACGUGGGUCGCGAGCAGCUGUCUGAGGCCGUGAUCGGCUACUACAACCUGGAGCACGCCCAGCGCUUCAAGAAGCUCUUCCGGCGCCCCUACUUCCGCGUGACGCUGCUGCCCGACCCGGUGAGUAAGGAGCCUACGGUUGCCGGCAACGGCUGUCGGGUAGUUGCCACGCGGGAAUCUUACAUAGGCAGAGGCAUGCCUGCUUGCCUGAGGUUGUGCGUGGACGGGUGAUGCGAGAACGCGUGCAUGCUGACAUGCAUGCCCUCGUUAGGUCAUUCACAUACGCAGCUCACUGGCAACACGUGCAGGUGGGUGCUGAGCUGUGCGGUACGCUCAAGAACAUCGUGGCCCUGGGUGUGGGCAUGGUGGACGGCAUGGGGAUGGGACCCAACUCCAAGGCCGCAGUUAUCCGCCAGGUGAGCUUGACAAUUGCAGACCUUUGGGUUUUCAAAUCACAGGUGCACAUGUCCGGGUUCUACUACAUGGUAGGAGUGAGGUCUGGCACCGUGACCGUACAUCCCAAUCCACUUCUCAAACCUCCCCUCCCGGGGCCCCCCUCCCCUCAGGGCCUGCUUGAGAUGCGUGACUUCUGCCAGGCCCUGUACCCCUCCGUCCGCGACGACACCUUCCUCGAGUGCUGCGGCGUGGGCGACCUGGUCGCCACCUGCAUCGGCGGCCGUCACCGCCGCGUGGCCGAGGCCUGGACGCGCUCCGCAAUUGAGAGCGCCGUGGCCGGCGAGGGCAACGGUGCCGGCCGCAGCUGGGCUGAGCUGGAGAAGGAGCUGCUGCAGGGCCAGAAGCUGCAGGGCGUGCUGACCAGCAACGAGGUGCAGCAGAUCCUGAGGGUAAGAGAAACAUCUGUGUGUGUGUGAUGGUGGUGAUUUGCGAUAUGCUUGCGCUGGUCUUGGUACGGGGCGCAUUGACAGUUCUGCGGCAGCUGGCAUACGGUAUUUUCUUGUGGCACCCGGCCUUGACCGCCACACGCACAACCCUUUCCACUCUCCCCACAGACCCGCGGCUGGGAGAGCAAGUACCCGCUGUUCACCACCAUCAACCGCAUCGUCAACGGCCACCUGCCGCCGCACCUGGUGGUCGACUACCUGGUGGGUGUGAGGGGCGGUGGCGGAGCGGGGGGUGGGAGGAGGGGUUGGGAGUCACACGCACGAACCCAACCCUAGGGAGGGAGCCCGUCCGUCCUGCAACGCGCCGUGUCUUGCGCCUCAAACCGUAAUCACCCGCGACCGCUGACAAACACACACACACACACACACACACACACACACACACACACACACACACACACACACACACACACACACACACACCGCCAACCUCCGCUCGCGCCUUCAGGAGGGCGCCAAGGCCGAUAUCGCCGUUGACGUCGAGGAGGACAUUGUGCCCCUGCCGCGCCAGCCCGCCUCCGCCAUGGCCCGCCUAUUCGGCCAGCUGGUCGGCGGAAUCAUGCAGCAGGGAGGAGCAGCCGCCGGCGCCGCCGCCAGCGCCGCCGCAGGCGCCGCCGCGGGCGCUGCCAGCAACAGCGUGUAAAGACGUUCCUUGUGGUAAUGGGUGCUGUGAUAUCGCGCGCGAGGGAGGGGCGCCGAGCUGCGUACGUAAGCGUCUGUCUUCGCAAUGUUUGUACGUGCAGAGCUGGGCGGGGUGCUUGGACGGAGUUGGCAUGGCAUGGCGUGGGCCGGUGUACACAACCGUUAUUUGUUUUUGUAUUUGUGGUCAAUCGGCUCUGGCGCGAGCAGCACUAAGUGAACAGAUGUAUUGGCAUGCUGUGCCACCUAUCUAUCUGUGAGCU